CGUGUAGGCGGCUUGGUAAGUCAGAUGUGAAAGCCCAGGGCUCAACCCUGGAAGUGCAUUUGAUACUACCAUGCUUGAGUAUGGGAGAGGAGAGCGGAAUUCCCAGUGUAGAGGUGAAAUUCGUAGAUAUUGGGAGGAACACCCGUGGCGAAGGCGGCUCUCUGGACCAAUACUGACGCUGAGACGCGAAAGCGUGGGGAGCAAACAGGAUUAGAUACCCUGGUAGUCC
rnacentral:rRNA from 1 species